AUCGCCAUGAUCGCGGAGGGCUUGGGCAUUUCAAAAGCGAAUGCUUUCUAGAAGCCCUGGAGGGCUCCGCGCGCUGCUGCUUGGACAUGCUUCUAGGAAACAACCUGUGCUUUAAUGGGCACUUUGCAAUUGCAUAGAAGUUCCCACCAAAACAGAAGUGGCCUUUCAAGGAAAACGCUGAGGCAGUGUGGAGCCGUUCUCAAAUGCCUUCUGAUAAAUAAAGUGAGGAGCUCGGGGUGCCCCAGCCGGGCGCUGAGGGGCACUGCGGGGCUCUCCGGCCGCCCCCACCUCCUUCCUGCACGGGGUCGGCACCGCAGAGCAAAAGGCGACGGCUUUGGCUAAAAGAAAAGGGAAUCUGCU
ensembl:lncRNA